GCGAGAGAGCGCGCCACUGUGUGAUUAAUGCGAACCGCAUACUGCUUUGAACAUCGACAUCUUGAACGCAUAUUGCGGCCAUGGGUUUGCCUGUGGCCACGCCUGUCCGAGGGUCGGCUUAUAAACUAUCACGACGCCCAAAAAGUCGUGGCUUGGGUUUUGCCAGCUGGCAUGAUUUCUCCACGCUUUUGCGUGGGGUGCCGGAUCUAUGGCUUCUCCCCAAUGUGCCGAACGCAACCAUAUCUGGGCCGAAUGUCUGGAUGAGGGUGUGGCGGCGGAGUCGUGGCUCAAUUGUAUUUAUGAAUAUGCGCGCUCCGUUGUUGUUCCUUUGUCUGUGACUGAAGCUUUAGUUCUGGCAAUGCAUUCGAUGCAAAUCCGUUUUGCACUUUGGUGCUUAACAUUCCUGACCUCGGAUCAGACGUGAAUACCCGCUGAACUUAAGCAUAUCACUAAGCGGAGGAAAAGAAACUAACCAAGGGAUC
rnacentral:rRNA from 1 species